UAAAAGGGCGUUUGUCACUUACAUGACAUGCAAUCUUCUGGGUCUUCGGGCCCAGAGUUUGUAGGGUAUGGCCAUCAAGACAUACUCAACGCAUAAUAUUUGGAAACGUGGGGCAGUUGGCUGCCAAUAUGCACCGACGCCCCC